UUUGGAGGCCUAGGCGGGCAGAUCACCUGAGGCCAGGAGUUCGAGACCAGCCUGGCCAAAGUGGUGAAACCCUGUCUCUACUAAAAAUACAAAAAUUAGCCAGGCGUGGUGGCGUGCACCUGGAAUCUCCUGCCAGGAGACUGAGGCAGGAGAAUUGCUGGAACCCAGAAGGCAGAGGCUUUGAGCUGAGAUCAUGCCACUACUACACUCCAGCCUGGGUGACAGAGCAAGACUCCCUCUAAACAGAGAAACAAAGAAAAGAAAAGAAAAGGAUAUAUCUAUGAUGAAUUAAGAUGGAGUGGAACCCACUGAUGGUAUGCAGCAGAUAAGAUGCUAUAAAGAAAUGAUAUCCGGACACACGCCUGGGCAACAAGAGUGAAACGCCAUCUCAAAACAAAACAAUGACAACAACAGGACAGCAGAGAUGGACGACGGGUCAGGAAAGCUAACCAGGCAGCGGGAGGCCAGGACAGAAAGAGGCACAGGGAGCUCAGCUUAGUUUUGCUACAGGGGAUCUCUCAGGCUCACAACGGGUCAGUCCUCUAGGGAAGUUCUGGCCUCAUCAUGAUCCUUAUUUCAUCUCACUCCCCAAGUCUUUCCUCUGUCCCUCCUCCCACUGCCAUUUAUUUAUUUAACUGAAAAAGUACCAAUCACCCACAUAUGCAUAAAAUACUCAUCCAUGUACUUAUUUCUUAAAAUUGAUUAUUGUUAACAUUUGGUGUCAUUUGCUUUAUUUAUUUUUAAUGAAAGAAAUAAAACUUCACAGAAAA